UACGGAGGAGGCAAGCGUUAUCCGGAAUUAUUGGGCGUAAAGCGUCCGCAGGUGGCAAUUCAAGUCUGUGGUUAAAGACUGGGGCUUAACCCUGGAAAGGCCAUGGAAACUGAAUAGCUAGAGUGCAGUAGGGGUAGAGGGAAUUCCCGGUGUAGCGGUGAAAUGCGUAGAGCUCGGGAAGAACACCGGUGGCGAAGGCGGCGACCUGGUCCUUUUACUGACGCUGAGGCGCGAAAGCGUGGGGAGCAAACAGG
rnacentral:rRNA from 1 species